rnacentral:lncRNA from 1 species
AAAAAACAGAGAAAAGCUUCCCUUUUCUCUCCAUCCCCGCCUUGACCGACUCAUGGGGUUCAUCGUUGUUUCAUGCACCUCCGCCUCUACCGACGACCCACGGAGUGAAUCCAGGUAAGCUCUCAUUUCCUUCUAUUUUCCGUCCCUUUUUAUUUAAAAUAGAUUUGUAAAAACAAAAACAAACAAAAGGAUAAAAGGGAAACGAGAAAACGAAGAGAAAUCCCAGAAAAAAGAUUAAAAAAUGACACAUUUUAAACUUUGGAUCUGAUUAUUUUGAUUGCUAUUGUGCCUUUUUUGUAUUGAUUUUCUCUCUAUCUGUCGAAGAAGUUACAAAAUGAUUUCUCUUGGGCUUUAUAGCCAAGAAAAAAAGAAAUAAUACAAAGAAUUUCUUUGCUGUGCUGUUUUUCUCUUUUCAUCUCUUUGUUGCUGUCGUUUUUGCAUUGGCUCGUAGGUACAGGAGUACGAAGGUACGUGGUGGUACGGAGGCUAUGCGCUGGAGGUUGUUGAAGCGGCGCAAGGUUAGUAGGGCUAGGGUUUCCUGAGAAUGUUUUCCGUCUUGUGCUAUUUGGGCCCUGGGUUUGGGCUAGUUUUAUUAUUAUUUUUGGGUAUUGGGCUGUUUUGUAACAUUUUGGGCUGGUAACUUUAUUUUGGGUUUGUAUGGACUGUUGUAAAUGGACUGGACUUAUUUUUAUUUUGGUUUAGUCUCUGUUUCUUUUUGGUUUUUU